rnacentral:lncRNA from 1 species
CCCGAAACUUCGGAAACUUACUGGAAAGAACCAAAUGGGCUUGACCUCAAAUGAGGCUCUGAGAACUUAGAUCCAGAGGCGACUACCCACUUCUAGAAACUGCCGAAGCAGGGACGGCUCCCGAGAGCAAGUGAGGUGGCCCUGAGCUCAAGGAACUGAAGGUGGCAUUUAGGUGGAAGGAGCUCGCCACAGAAAGCUGAACCUUUCAGGAAACAAGCUGAGGGCCGAGAAGGGAUCAGGCUUCAAAGCCGGGGUUUCCAUGGUAGCCCAGAGCGUCUAGAAACAACUGAACUCGCGGGCGGAGAGAACUACCCCAAUGCCGGCCCACAGGCGUACGA